rnacentral:rRNA from 1 species
CAUUAAAACACCAGUUCCCAUACAAUCACUAAAGUUAAGCAACAUCGAGCCUGGUCAGUACCUAGAUGGGUGACCACUUGGGAAUACCUGAUGCU